GACGAACGCUGGCGGCGCGCCUAACACAUGCAAGUCGAACGGAGCUGCGAGAAGCUUGCUUUUCUUAGCUUAGUGGCGAACGGGUGAGUAACGCGUGCGUAACCUGCCAUGGAGUGGGGGACAACAGUUGGAAACGACUGCUAAUACCGCAUAAGCCCACGAUCCGGCAUCGGAUUGAGGGAAACGGAUUUAUUCGCUUCAGGAUGGACUCGCGUCCAAUUAGAUAGUUGGUGAGGUAACGGCCCACCAAGGCGGCGAUUGCGAGCCGGGAAGAGAGGUUGGACCGACACUUCUGGGGUAGGAAACAGUCCAGAAUCCUACGGGAGGGAGGAAUGGGUGAUAUUGCACAAUGGGGGAGACCCUGAUGCAGCGACGCCGCGUAGAGGAAGAAGGUUGUCGGAUAGUAAACUCCUGUCGUUAGGGGCGAUAAUGACGGUACCUAACAAGAAAGCACCGGCUAACUACGUG
rnacentral:rRNA from 1 species